UGUUAGCUAUGUAAAGAGGAUAAAAACUUUAAUUAGCUAGGGGAAAAAAAACCCUUAUAGAAGCUGGGUGUGGUGGCACAUGCCUAUAAUCCCAGCACUUGCGAAACUGUGAGACUGUGGCAGAAGGAUCGUAAGUUCAAGGCCAGUCUGGACAAUUAGCAACUUGAGGUUUUGAAUUUACGUCAAAGAUUGCAUGAAGUUAAGAAUAUUCUCAUUUUCAACUCCAUCCCUAGGAGCAUUAUCGCCUAGAAAAACUCCAGAUAAUUAACUCAUGGUUUUUAGCCUGAAGUCCCAACUUAAAGGGAUGUCAGAUAUGUACAGAGGACUGCUCAACCAACAGUCUAUGCAAAUAUUCAACAUCCAAAACUCUGAAACUGGAAACACUGCUGGUCUCAAGUAUUUUGGAUAAGAGAAAUCCCCUUGGGAAUUUAGAAAAAAUGUCAUGCUUUACCUAGGGAACUGGUGCAACACAAAGAAGAAACCCAGCAGGAGAGAAGACUGCCAUCACCCAGAAGAAAUCACUAGCCACAUCACAGGGAACACUUUCCCAUUUUAUUUAAGCUCACUCACUAUGCUGAAUUAGGAGGCAUUCGAGAGUGCAAAGUAACCCAGUACCACCAUGGACAAUAAUUUUUAAAAAGCCCUCAAGAACUGAGCUAGGCAAAUUGAUAAGUGACUCACUUCUGAGAGAAUGAAACCAAAGGAAACUUAAGACUGUUUCCAGGCUGGUGCUUCCUUAGCAUGAUAAGAAGAUCCAUCGGAAAACAGAUUCUUGUAUGAGGAUGCUUACCAAUUGCCAAUAAAAAUUGCUGGCACUACUGAAAGACCUUCUAAACUGAGACUCUCCUCCACCUUCAGCAUCCUUUAUGCAUCAGUGAAAGUGAGUCUUUACAAUAAAUCAUAGUUAAAUGUCUGUUAGAGAGACCAUGUUCUGUUUACCAAAUAAAGAUGGUAAAUAUUAUCACUAAGCUGUUAAAGAUUAAUUUGUUCACUUCUACUAUACUUACUAGCCUUUGAAUUCAUUUUAAUGGAUGGUAGAAGAUGCUACGGCUUCUAAAAUUGGACUUCUGUCUAUUGUAAUGUUAGUAAGAUCAACAGGCUCGCAAUGUGGAAUCUCCCAGACUAAGGUGCCAGGGUAAGAGACAAAAAUAUGUCAUUUGUGUGUGUGUGAAUCUCUAUGUGAAGUAUAUUCAUAUAAUAAAUAUGCACUUAUUAAAACAUAUCUAAUGAACAUAAUUUCCAAAUCACUGGAAUUACUUCCAUAUAGGUCACCCAGAUUCUACAAUACCAC